GACAGAGGUGCCAAGCGUUAGGCGGAAUCACUGGGCUUAAAGCGUGUGUAGGCGGAUUGGUAAGUACCUUGUGAAAUCCCACAGCUCAACUGUGGAACUGCUCGGUAUACUGCUUAUCUUGAGCCACUUAGGGGCUGUCGGAACAAACGGUGGAGCGGUGAAAUGCGCAGAUAUCGGGAAGAACACCCGUGGCGAAGGCGGUUCUCUGGGACGGUACUGACGCUGAGACGCGAAAGCGUGGGGAGCGAACAGG
rnacentral:rRNA from 1 species